rnacentral:rRNA from 1 species
CCUACGGGAGGCAGCAGUGGGGAAUUUUGGACAAUGGGCGCAAGCCUGAUCCAGCCAUUCCGCGUGAGUGAAGAAGGCCUUCGGGUUGUAAAGCUCUUUCGCAAGGGAAGAAACGAUUUAGGUGAAUAAUCUAAGUUAAUGACGGUACCUUGAUAAGAAGCACCGGCUAACUACGUGCCAGCAGCCGCGGUAAUACGUAGGGUGCGAGCGUUAAUCGGAAUUACUGGGCGUAAAGCGUGCGCAGGCUGUUUUGUAAGUCAGAUGUGAAAUCCCCGAGCUCAACUUGGGAACUGCGUUUGAAACUACAAGACUAGAAUAUGUCAGAGGGGGGUAGAAUUCCACGUGUAGCAGUGAAAUGCGUAGAGAUGUGGAGGAAUAUCAAUGGCGAAGGCAGCCCCCUGGGAUAAUAUUGACGCUCAUGCACGAAAGCGUGGGGAGCAAACAGGAUUAGAUACCCUGGUAGUCCACGCCCUAAACGAUGUCAACUAGUUGUUGGUAGAGUAAAAUCUAUGAGUAACGCAGCUAACGCGUGAAGUUGACCGCCUGGGGAGUACGAUCGCAAGAUUAAAACUCAAAGGAAUUGACGG